rnacentral:rRNA from 1 species
UCAAGUAAGUAAGGGCGUACGGCGGAUGCCUUGGCCAUAUCAGCCGAAGAAGGACGCGAUAAGCUGCGAUAAGCUGCGGUGAGGUGCAAGUAACCUUUGACCCGCAGAUCUCCGAAUGGGGAAACCCGGCAGCAGUAGUGCUGUCAUCCUCUAUGAGGAAGGGCACCCGGUGAACUGAAACAUCUAAGUAGCCGGAGGAAAAGGAAUCAACAGAGAUACCCCUAGUAGCGGCGAGCGAACGGGGCAGAGCCCAAACCGGGAUGGGAAACCAAUCCGGGGUUGUGGACUGCUAUCAAAUGCAUGAGUGAAGCAGAAUGAGCUGGGAAGCUCAGCCAGAGAGAGUGAGAGCCUCGUAGGCGUAAGCGAGUGCAUGGAGCAGGAUCCGGAGUACCACGGGACACGAGAAACCCUGUGGGAAGCUGGGGGGACCACCCUCCAAGGCGAAACACUGAUAUGGACCGAUAGCGCAUAGUACCGUGAGGGAAAGGUGAAAAGAACCCCGGGAGGGGAGUGAAAGAGAACCUGAAACCGUAUGUCUACAAGCAGUCGAAGACCUUUAUAUGGUCGACGGCGUGCCUAUUGAAGAAUGAACCGGCGAGUUACUUCAGCUAGCGAGGUUAAGCAGGAAAUGCGGAGCCGCAGCGAAAGCGAGUCUGAACAGGGCGUAUAGUUAGUUGGAGUAGACCCGAAACCACAGUGAUCUACCCAUGUCCAGGUUGAAGCACAGGUAAAAAUGUGUGGAGGACCGAACCAGUGAGCGUUGAAAAGCUUUUGGAUGAGAUGUGGGUAGGGGUGAAAUGCCAAUCGAACGUGGAGAUAGCUGGUUCUCCCCGAAAUAGCUUUAGGGCUAGCCUCAUGGCGAGAGUACAGGCGGUAGAGCACUGAACGGGGUAGGGGCCUAUCCGGCUACUGAACCUAAUCAAACUGCGAAUGGCUGUACUUAUCCAUGGGAGUCAGACUGUGAGUAAUAAGGCCCAUAGUCAAGAGGGAAACAGCCCAGACCAACAGCUAAGGUCCCCAAUGCCGUACUAAGUGGCGAAGGAUGUGGAAUUUCGAAAACAACCAGGAUGUUGGCUCAGAAGCAGCCACCAUUAAAAGAGUGCGUAAUAGCUCACUGGUCGAGAGACUCUGCGCCGAAGAUGUCCGGGGCUAAAGUACGGAACCGAAGCUUUGGCAAUUAACAUAAGUUAAUUGGGUAGGGGAGCGUUCCUGCAUGGGAGAAGCCUGACCGGAAGGACAGGUGGACAGGCAGGAAGAGAGAAUGCCGGUAUGAGUAGCGAAAAGAAGGGUGAGAAUCCCUUCCACCGAAAGCCUAAGGGUUCCUGGGCAACGAUCGUCGUCCCAGGGUAAGUCGGGACCUAAUCCGAGGCGGAGACGCGUAGGAGAUGGACAACAGGUUGAAAUUCCUGUACUGGCUGAGGCCGUUUGAGCGAAGGAGUGACACAGGAAGGAAGGCGCGCGUGCGAAUGGAAGAGCACGUCCAAGCAGGUAGGUCGGGAGACAGGCAAAUCCGUUUCCCAUAAGGCCGAGAUGCGAUGGGGAGCUUCUGGAGACAGAAGCGAAGGGGCUGGCACUAAACUGUCGAGAAAAGCUUCUAGUGAGGACUCAGGCACCCGUACCGAAACCGACACAGGUAGGCAGGAUGAGAAUUCUAAGGUGCGCGGGAAAACCCUCGUUAAGGAACUCGGCAAAAUAUAUCCGUAACUUCGGGAAAAGGAUAACCCAGCGUACGUGAAGUGCAGAAGCGCAUGGAGCGGAGAUGGGUGGCAGAAGAGAGGCCCAAGCGACUGUUUACCACAAACACAGGCGUCUGCUAAAGCGAAAGCUGAUGUAUAGAUGCUGACACCUGCCCGGUGCUGGAAGGUUAAGAGGAAGUGUUAGCGCAAGCGAAGCAGUGAAUUGAAGCCCCAGUAAACGGCGGCCGUAACUAUAACGGUCCUAAGGUAGCGAAAUUCCUUGUCGGGUAAGUUCCGACCCGCACGAAAGGUGUAACGAUUUGGGCACUGUCUCAACGAGGGACCCGGUGAAAUUGAAGUACCUGUGAAGAUGCAGGUUACCCGCGACUGGACAGAAAGACCCCAUGGAGCUUU